rnacentral:rRNA from 1 species
AGAACGAACGCUGGCGGCAUGCCUAACACAUGCAAGUCGAACGAGACCUUCGGGUCUAGUGGCGCACGGGUGCGUAACGCGUGGGAAUCUGCCCUUGGGUUCGGGAUAACAGUUGGAAACGACUGCUAAUACCGGAUGAUGUCUUCGGACCAAAGAUUUAUCGCCCAAGGAUGAGCCCGCGUAGGAUUAGCUUGUUGGUGAGGUAAGAGCUCACCAAGGCGACGAUCCUUAGCUGGUCUGAGAGGAUGAUCAGCCACACUGGGACUGAGACACGGCCCAGACUCCUACGGGA